UACGUAGGGGCCAAGCGUUGUCCGGAUUUAUUGGGCGUAAAGAGCUCGUAGGCGGUUCGGCAAGUCAGCUGUGAAAAUCUCCACGCUCAAACGUGGAGGGGUCAGCUGAUACUGCUGUGACUUGAGUCCGGUAGGGGAGUGUGGAAUUCCCGGUGUAGCGGUGAAAUGCGCAGAUAUCAGGAGGAACACCGGUGGCGAAGGCGGGUCUCUGGGCCGAUACUGACGUGGAGGAGCGAAAGCGUGGGGAGCAAACAGG
rnacentral:rRNA from 1 species